AUGAUCAAAACAUGGCUUGGUUUACAUGAUGUUCAUCCUACGGAUUGGGGAGGCAUGGUUUCCGUCAAGGAGUGGUGGUGCAGCAACACUUGCGGGAGGUCGCAAUCUCGAAGGCCGCUUCUUUCCCUUAUUCUUAUCUCUUGGGAAAUCUGGAAUGAGCGAAAUGCUCGGGUGUUCUUCAACAAUGCGACUCCGGUCGUUAUGCUUGUGACACACAUCAAAGUGGAGGCAUCAUCGGGUUGCCUUGCCGGGUGA
rnacentral:rRNA from 1 species